CUUUGUGGAGAAGGUUGACAAUGGCACCACCUUGUGCAAAAUCUGAUCAUAACAGUUGAUUUCAAAGCGCAACUCUCUGACUACAUACACGUACAUAAACUGCAAGCGACGCGACAAACUACAACGGUUCUAUUAUAAUGAACAACUCUGCGACGCGGUGAAAUUAAGUUUGUCGCGUCGCGUCAGAUGGGGCUUGAGCGUCGGGGCGUCGCCUUGGCUCGACCCGAACCAAUCGGGAUUCCGCUCAGAACUUUGUAAACAACACAGUUGCACGCUGUAUGAAAACUUUACUACGAGAGGAUGUCGCGUGCCGAGGACCGCCAGAACAUCACUCAACCAGAAGCAUCUUCACAUUAUGGCUGCAGGAUCUGAUGUCUGCCAAACAAGCGUGGGAACUGACCUGGCCCAUCCACAGCAGCCUCAUCUGCAGCCUGUAAUGAUGGAACCUCAAUGACAUCAUACACGUUUUGGAGCAGGGCUCUGGUAGCUGCGCCGUACGCCUCAUCCAAAUACCAGUGGCUAAACGGAACACACACGCCGAGCUGAGCAAUGGAAGUCAGAUGGUCUGCGUUUUCUUUCUUCCUUUCCCCCCCCUUCUGACUCAAGUGUAAGCGGCUGUCGGGAUUUAGAGAGAAAGAGACCGAGGGGCCUCCGCGAGGGUCGGCCUCGACUGUAAAUGUCGGAAAGCGAACACAGGCCUUCGUAACAAAGUGGAAUCUGAUAUAAUUUACCCCAGGCUGCAGUGUUUGAUCUUCACCUACUUCAGGGUGCUUGUCAGAGCCGUGGAGGGGGGACUGGUGCAGCUUAUGGGCCAAAAAGUCGGCGUUUAUAAUCUGACGUCAUGUGCGUUGAAAAGUAUUUUCAUGUGUGGGUUGACAUUUUGAAAGUUGCGGAUUGUAUGCAAGCAUUGCUGCUGUUUUCUUUUCAUGCUUCCUGCAUAAAUGUAGUCAUAUUUAGUUACCUCCAAGGACUCUUGUAAUGUAAAACACUGCCUUCACUUCAUUCCUCAUUGGCCAAUCUAGGCAUCUUGAAUGUUUGCAUUGCUAUGUAACGUAGCCUUUGCUAUGUAACGAAAACUAGAUGUUCAAUAGGGCAAUAUAGGGCCAUUUUAUUUUAUAUACAUGAAGAAACUGACCCUACACAAGAUUUUUUCACAAUUAUUUUUUUUUAGCAUUUAGCUUUGGUUGGAGUAGCUUAGCGGUUAGCGCGCAUGCCCUGACACAUGGUGCUCAUGUUGAGUUUUUUGAUCCCAGUCCUCUGUGUUCAUCAUUUUCUGGCCUGUUAAUUAUUUAUUUAUUUAUUUACUUUUGUUGUAUUUAAACAUUAAACAUCAAAUCAAAUUACAUAAUCAUCUCAGAACCGUUUUUUUUUUUUGCAUUUUUUUAUUUUUGCAUUUUUAAGAAUAAUAUAAUUAUA
ensembl:lncRNA